rnacentral:lncRNA from 1 species
GUUUCUAAAAGUGGAUUUCCAAUGGUUUGAGCGUACAGAUUUAAGAGGGAGUAGUAUUUAGUAUCGAGCGGGAAGUGUGGGAUCAGCGUGUCCUAUCUUUCACAGAUUUAUGUAGCCAACGUAGAUACAGACUCAGAUUAUUUUCAUUUACAUGGAUGACUGAUUUAGCUUGUGAUCAAUCACUUGGAUUAGGUUAUACUCCCUGG